rnacentral:rRNA from 1 species
AAAGCGUGCGAAUGGAAGAGCACGUCUAAGCAGUGAGGUGUGAUAUGAGUCAAAUGCUUAUAUCUCUAACAUUGAGCUGUGAUGGGGAGCGAAGUUUAGUAGCGAAGUGAGUGAUGUCACCCUGCCAAGAAAAGCUUCUAGCGAUAAUUUAUACUCUACCCGUACCGCAAACCGACACAGGUAGUCGAGGCGAGUAGCCUCAGGUGAGCGAGAGAACUCUCGUUAAGGAACUCGGCAAAAUGACCCCGUAACUUCGGGAGAAGGGGUGCUGAUUUAGGUCAGCCGCAGUGAAUAGGCCCAAGCAACUGUUUAUCAAAAACACAGCUCUCUGCUAAAUCGUAAGAUGAUGUAUAGGGGGUGACGCCUGCCCGGUGCUGGAAGGUUAAGAGGAGUGCUUAGCGUAAGCGAAGGUAUGAAUUGAAGCCCCAGUAAACGGCGGCCGUAACAAUAACGGUCCUAAGGUAGCGAAAUUCCUUGUCGGGUAAGUUCCGACCCGCACGAAAGGCGUAAUGAUUUGGGCACUGUCUCAACGAGAGACUCGGUGAAAUUUUAGUACCUGUGAGGAUGCAGGUUACCCGCGACAGGACGGAAAGACCCCAUGGAGCUUUACUGCAGUUUGAUAUUGAGUGUCUGUGCCACAUGUACAGGAUAGGUAGGAACCAAUGAGAUCGGGACGCCAGUUUCGAUGGAGGCGAUGUUGGGAUACUACCCUUGUGUUAUGGCCACUCUAACCCGGUAGGUUUAUCAUCUACGGAGACAGUGUCUGACGGGCAGUUUGACUGGGGCGGUCGCCUCCUAAAGAGUAACGGAGGCGCCCAAAGGUUCCCUCAGAUUGGUUGGAAAUCAAUCGCAGAGUGUAAAGGUAUAAGGGAGCUUGACUGCGAGAGCUACAACUCGAGCAGGGACGAAAGUCGGGCUUAGUGAUCCGGUGGUACCGUAUGGAAGGGCCAUCGCUCAACGGAUAAAAGCUACCCUGGGGAUAACAGGCUUAUCUCCCCCAAGAGUUCACAUCGACGGGGAGGUUUGGCACCUCGAUGUCGGCUCGUCGCAUCCUGGGGCUGUAGUCGGUCCCAAGGGUUGGGCUGUUCGCCCAUUAAAGCGGCACGCGAGCUGGGUUCAGAACGUCGUGAGACAGUUCGGUCCCUAUCCGUCGCGGGCGAAGGAAAUUUGAGAGGAUCUGCUCCUAGUACGAGAGGACCAGAGUGGACUUACCGCUGGUGUACCAGUUGUUCUGCCAAGAGCAUCGCUGGGUAGCUAUGUAGGGAAGGGAUAAACGCUGAAAGCAUCUAAGUGUGAAACCCACCUCAAGAUGAGAUUUCCCAUGAUUUUAUAUCAGUAAGAGCCCUGAGAGAAGAUCAGGUAGAUAGGUUAGGAGUGGAAGUUGUGUGAGCAAUGGAGCGGACUAAUACUAAUAGCUCGAGGACUUAUCCA